rnacentral:rRNA from 1 species
CUACGGGUCGCUGCAGUGAGGAAUAUUGGUCAAUGGGCGAAAGCCUGAACCAGCCAUGCCGCGUGAAGGAUGACGGCCCUAUGGGUUGUAAACUUCUUUUAUACGGAAAGAAACACCUCUACGUGUAGAGGUUUGACGGUACCGUACGAAUAAGCAUCGGCUAACUCCGUGCCAGCAGCCGCGGUAAUACGGAGGAUGCAAGCGUUAUCCGGAUUUAUUGGGUUUAAAGGGUACGUAGGCGGAAACUUAAGUCAGUAGUGAAAUCCCGCAGCUUAACUGUGGAACUGUUAUUGAUACUGGGUUUCUUGAAUAUUGUUGAGGUAGGCGGAAUAAGUAAUGUAGCGGUGAAAUGCUUAGAUAUUACUUAGAACACCGAUUGCGAAGGCAGCUUACUAAGCAAUUAUUGACGCUGAGGUACGAAAGCGUGGGGAGCGAACAGGAUUAGAUACCCUCGUAGUC